UCACCAAUCCCUGAGCCCCUCGUCUCCGGCGGCGGCAUCCAUGGUGAAGGGACGCACGGGGCAACACAUGAGGCUCUACGUCCGACGCAGCAUCCUCGGCUUCAAGAGGUCCAAGUCCAACCAGUACGAGAACACGUCGCUGAUGCAACCACUGCCGGCGCCCCCAGCCCUCUCCUCCUCUCCUCUCCUUCUCUCCCGAGUCGCCGAGUCCAACCUCCACAGAUUUCACUCCGCGCGCCCGGAACCCUAGCCCGUGGCCGUGGCGACCAGGCUCUGGAUCCGCAUCAUCGGAUGCGCCGGCGACGAGGCCAGGAGGCUGAUGAUGGGCCGGUGGGCUGCCGGCGACGGAUCUGCAUCUCCAGAUGCGUCGGCGACCAGGCUCUGGAUCCGCAUCCGCUGCCCUCCACUCUUUCCACUCCUCGAGGCUAUGUGUUACUCGCCAACGUGCGUGUGGCCCUUCUCGUGAAUCGGCCGCCGCUGGCUCAAGGAAGAUGACGCCGCCGCCGCCCAGUCUUCACCCACUCCGCCGGCCGACACGGUGGACGCGUGGUACCGCGCGCUCGAGUGCGGCGACUUCUGGUUCCUGCCCAGGUGUACAACCGCAAGGUACCCUCCCCACGGCUGGAAGCUGGCCAAGGAGGAGGAGAGGCGUGCAAUAUUAUUCUUCACCUUCAAUAUCUAUUGCACGGACUGAUAUUUUGAAUGUGUCAAUGUGACAAGGAGGCGGGUGUGAUGUGUACAGGGCCCUCACCCACAAGGAGCCCUUCACCAAAAUCAUAGUGUCAAAUUACGACUGCAUCUUAAAUAACUUGUUGUGCAUAGUGUCAAAAUAUUCAUGUGAUCCCAAACCUAUUUUGAUUUGAACUUGGCCUAUGUUUAUGCCCAGUUUCUGUUAAUUAUCUUGAAUGGUGUGGUACCGUGUCUAUGCACGCACAACUUCCUCCCACAAAAAAAACUAAGUGCAUGUCUCUCUCACUUUCGUUCGCAUUUCUUUUAACAUCAUCUUCAGAAUGAACACAAAUCUUUUUAUUUCUAAUAUUUUUUAUAUUUAUUUCCUUUUCAUUGAUUCAUGUGCAGUGUAAUGUUCUUGUAGGAUGACAAGUUGUCGCAUCUCGAGCAUGUCUCAUAGGAGAGUGGAAUGAAGUCCAUUGUACUGUCGGGAUAGUAGUAGAUGUGCCAUUGUUCUAUUGUGAAAUUAUGUCUGUCCUUGCUAUCCUCUGUAAGGAAAUGUAUUCAUGAGAUGAGUUAUUGUAUUAUGUAAACCUGGCAGAUGUAUUA